rnacentral:rRNA from 1 species
GAUGAACGCUGGCGGCGUGCCUAAUACAUGCAAGUCGAGCGAAGCGGGGACGGGUGAGUAACACGUGGAUAACCUCCUAUAAGACUGGGAUAACUUCGGGAAAACGGAGCUAAACCGGAUAAUUAUAGAUCGAUCCGCGCUGCAUUAGCUAGUUGGCAAGAAAACGGCUGACCAAGGCAACGAUGCAUAGACGACGUGAGAGGGUGAUCGGGCACACUGGAACUGAGACACGGUGCAGCCUCCUACGGGAGGCAGCAGUAGGGAAUCUUCCGCAAUGGGCGAAAGCCUGACAUAGCCACGCCGCGUGAGUGAUGAAGGUCUUCGGAUCGUAAACCUCUGUUAUUAGGGAAGCGGUACCUAAUCAGAAAGCCACGGCUAACUACGUGCCAGCAGCCGCGGUAAUUC